CUGUAACUAUUUUUAAAUUUUAACUAUGAUCCAUUUCUUCCUUAGAAACAGGUGACUAUGCCCCUACUUCUCCAACAUAACUGUAUCUCACAUGUCAUCCUCUUAGAAGGGAUGAAGUUCUGCUGCUGUCACUGGUCUCUUGUCUACUAAGAUGAUCUGAGACUGACUUCCAACAGUGAGAAUAUUGCUAAUGAAAAGAGGAUGCUGUAGUCAGCAGUAUAGGUUUCUUAUUUAUGGGUGAAUGCAACCCUCAACUGAUUUCAUCUGCAAAGAAAAUGCUGACCUUCCAGUGUCUGAGAGGAGGUAACCCAGCUGGUGGAAAAUAGGAUAAUAAUUGGAUGCAUAGGUAUCAGAAUCAUUAAUGAUCUCUUCUGAAGGUGCUUUUAGAGCUUCGGAUUAAAAGUGCUGUAUAUCAUGGGGAAGAUACAA